rnacentral:rRNA from 1 species
GUGGGGAAUAUUGGACAAUGGGCGAAAGCCUGAUCCAGCCAUGCCGCGUGUGUGAAGAAGGUCUUCGGAUUGUAAAGCACUUUAAGUUGGGAGGAAGGGCAGUAAGUUAAUACCUUGCUGUUUUGACGUUACCGACAGAAUAAGCACCGGCUAACUUCGUGCCAGCAGCCGCGGUAAUACGAAGGGUGCAAGCGUUAAUCGGAAUUACUGGGCGUAAAGCGCGCGUAGGUGGGUUUGUAAGUUGGAGGUGAAAUCCCCGGGCUCAACCUGGGAACUGCCUCCAAAACUGCAUGACUAGAGUACGGUAGAGGGUAGUGGAAUUUCCUGUGUAGCGGUGAAAUGCGUAGAUAUAGGAAGGAACACCAGUGGCGAAGGCGACUACCUGGACUGAUACUGACACUGAGGUGCGAAAGCGUGGGGAGCAAACAGGAUUAGAUACCCCGGUAGUCC